rnacentral:tRNA from 1 species
ACCAAAGUGGUGGAAUAGGUAGACACAUUGUCUUGAGGUGGCAAGAAUUGGGGGUUCGAGUCCCCUCUUUGGUA